GUCUCUAGCUAUACCACCCUGAAUAUGCCUGAUCUCUUCUGAUCUCAGAAGCUAAGCAGGGUCAGGCCUGGUUAGUACUUGGAAGGGAGAAAGGAACUAGAUUUA
rnacentral:rRNA from 1 species